GACGAACGCUGGCGGCGUGCUUAACACAUGCAAGUCGAACGGAAAGGCCCUGCUUUUGUGGGGUGCUCGAGUGGCGAACGGGUGAGUAACACGUGAGUAACCUGCCCUUGACUUUGGGAUAACUUCAGGAAACUGGGGCUCAUACCGGAUAGGAGCUCCUGCUGCAUGGUGGGGGUUGGAAAGUUUCGGCGGUUGGGGAUGGACUCGCGGCUUAUCAGCUUGUUGGUGGGGUAGUGGCUUACCAAGGCUUUGACGGGUAGCCGGCCUGAGAGGGUGACCGGCGACAUUGGGACUGAGAGACGGACCAGACUCGUACGGGAGGCAGCAGUGGGGAAUAUUGCACAAUGGGCGGACGCCUGAUGCAGCAACGCUGCGUGCGGGAUGACGGCCUUCGGGUUGUAAACCGCUUUCGCCUGUGACGAAGCGUGAGUGACGGUAAUGGGUAAAGAAGCACCGGCUAACUACGUG
rnacentral:rRNA from 1 species